rnacentral:rRNA from 1 species
CUACGUGCCAGCAGCCGCGGUAAUACGUAGGGUGCGAGCGUUAAUCGGAAUUACUGGGCGUAAAGCGGGCGCAGACGGUUACUUAAGCAGGAUGUGAAAUCCCCGGGCUCAACCUGGGAACUGCGUUCUGAACUGGGUGACUAGAGUGUGUCAGAGGGAGGUAGAAUUCCACGUGUAGCAGUGAAAUGCGUAGAGAUGUGGAGGAAUACCGAUGGCGAAGGCAGCCUCCUGGGAUAACACUGACGUUCAUGCUCGAAAGCGUGGGUAGCAAACAGGAUUAGAUACCCUGGUAGUGCACGCCCUAAACGAUGUCAAUUAGCUGUUGGGCAACUUGAUUGCUUAGUAGCGUAGCUAACGCGUGAAAUUGACCGCCUGGGGAGUACGGUCGCAAGAUUAAAACUCAAAGGAAUUGACGGGGACCCGCACAAGCGGUGGAUGAUGUGGAUUAAUUCGAUGCAACGCGAAGAACCUUACCUGGUCUUGACAU